rnacentral:lncRNA from 1 species
CUGACCCUCAAGAAAUUUAGCUGUAUAUAUAUUUGUGUUUAUAUUUACAUUUUAAUGCAUACAGAGCUAAACAAAGACACACAGAUACAUGUGUGUCUGUGAAAAAAUUUGUGUUUUUCCACCAUAACUGACAGUCACUCAAAGUGGUACUCUGAAUUUUCAGAAACUGGUGAUCUCUGCUGUCACCUAGUCUCUCUGAGCCUAGUUUCUUUAUCAGCUGUCCUGAAAGGUUGAUGCUAACGUAGGAGACUGGUAUUUUAUUAAUCUUUUUGUGAUACAAGUUUAGCCAAAUUGCCUUCCCAGCUGGAGAUGAUCUUUACUUGCCAUUGAUUGAAACCAGUUUGUCCAAGUCCCAAGAGCUGGGACUAGCUUUCUGGGGUCCCAUUCUAUGCUGUGUUAGAAUAGCCAACCUUAACUGAGAUAGCUAAAACCCAGAAGUGGAAGAGAGCUGUGCAAAGUGAUUCAAGUUAACAACAAAAAAACAAAACAAACAAUUUAAAAAAAAACAACUCAAAAUCUCAGGGAAUCACGUCUUCCACCUACUUUUCUUUCCUCUCACAGUAAGUAGCUCUGACACCAGUGGCCCCUAAUUUGGCCAGUGAGUAGAGACUUCUUGGGUUAAUUUUAUGCUCCUUUUUUCCCCCUUUUAACUGAAGGAAUAUUUAAGUGCUUCAUUUUUUCAUUUGAGAAAUGGACAUAAUAUGAUUUUGCAUAUUUUUCAAGUGCAAUAACUGGCUUAUUUAAAUAACAUGGCUUUAAAAUCAUUUGAAGACAUGUGAAAAUAAAAUAUUAUUGAGCUCUGGAG